rnacentral:rRNA from 1 species
ACGGGAGGCAGCAGUGAGGAAUAUUGGUCAAUGGGCGAGAGCCUGAACCAGCCAAGUAGCGUGAAGGACGACGGCCCUACGGGUUGUAAACCUCUUUUGUUCGGGAAUAAAGUGCGGGACGUGUCCCGCUUUGCAUGUACCGUUCGAAUAAGCAUCGGCUAAUUCCGUGCCAGCAGCCGCGGUAAUACGGAAGAUGCGAGCGUUAUCCGGAUCUAUUGGGUUUAAAGGGAGCGUAGGCGGCCUUUUAAGUCAGCGGUCAAAUGUCAGCGCCCAACGCUGGCCUGCCGUUGAUACUGAUGGGCUUGAAUACACACAAGGAAGGUGGAAUUCGUCGUGUAGCGGUGAAAUGCUUAGAUAUGACGAAGAACUCCGAUUGCGAAGGCAGCCUUCUGGAGUGCGAUUGACGCUGAGGCUCGAAAGCGUGGGUAUCGAACAGGAUUAGAUACCCUGGUA